AACGAACGCUGGCGGCGUGCCUAACACAUGCAAGUCGAACGAGAAAGCUCUUCGGAGUGAGUAGAGUGGCGCACGGGUGAGUAACGCGUAGGUGACCUGCCAUUUGGGUGGGGGAUAACACAGAGAAAUUUGUGCUAAUACCCGUAAGCAACACAAUUUUGAAAGUAGUGUUGGAAAGGAUGGGACCUUCGGGCCAUCCACCGAAUGAUGGGCCUGCGUUGCAUUAGCUUGAUGGUGGGGUAAUGGCCUACCAUGGCGACGAUGCAUAGCUGGUCUGAGAGGAUGAUCAGCCACACUGGGACUGAGACACGGCCCAG
rnacentral:rRNA from 1 species